rnacentral:rRNA from 1 species
UGAGGAAUAUUGGACAAUGGACGAAAGUCUGAUCCAGCCAUGCCGCGUGCAGGAAGACGGCCCUCUGGGUUGUAAACUGCUUUUAUACGGGAAUAAACCCCCCGACGUGUCGGGGGCUGAAUGUACCGUACGAAUAAGCACCGGCUAACUCCGUG